rnacentral:rRNA from 1 species
UGAACGCUGGCGGCAGGCCUAACACAUGCAAGUCGAACGGUAACAGGAAGCAGCUUGCUGCUUUGCUGACGAGUGGCGGACGGGUGAGUAAUGUCUGGGAAACUGCCUGAUGGAGGGGGAUAACUACUGGAAACGGUGGCUAAUACCGCAUAAYGUCGCAAGACCAAAGAGGGGGACCUUCGGGCCUCUUGCCAUCAGAUGUGCCCAGAUGGGAUUAGCUUGUUGGUGAGGUAACGGCUCACCAAGGCGACGAUCCCUAGCUGGUCUGAGAGGAUGACCAGCCACACUGGAACUGAGACACGGUCCAGACUCCUACGGGAGGCAGCAGUGGGGAAUAUUGCACAAUGGGCGCAAGCCUGAUGCAGCCAUGCCGCGUGUAUGAAGAAGGCCUUCGGGUUGUAAAGUACUUUCAGCGGGGAGGAAGGUGUUG